ensembl:lncRNA
CCCUCCUACCUGCACUGUGGGAAUGCCCGGUUGUGCACCCCCCUAUGGGACAAAGCCUUACAGUGCAUGGGAGAUGGCCUUGGAUCCCAGGUACCUACAGUAGGUCACCAAAACUGUGUCUGCUGAGUGACAAGGCUGAAAUAAGAGGGAUUAAACGAACAAAAGGUCAAAUACAAUGUUUAGGUAUUGUGUCUGUGUUAAGGCUUGUCCUGAAACAUUGGAAGAGCUCCAGUGUUCACACAGUGGAUGAAUCUGUUGAUACAAAACAACAGCGUAUGAAAUCGUGUUUGCGAAGAGGCUGGAGGAAAAUAAUACAGACUGUGUUUCCUUAAGGGUACAUAGAGGCGUGUAGAGGCGACAGGUAGUCUAGUGGUUAGAGUGUAGAGGUGGCAAGGUAGCCUAGUGGUUAGAGUGUAGAGGCGGCAGGUAGCCUAGUGGUUAGAGUGUAGAGGCGGCAGGGUAGCCUAGUGGUUAGAGUGUAGAGGCGGCAGGUAGCCUAGUGGUUAGAGUGUAGAGGCGACAGGUAGCCUAGUGGUUACAGUGUAGAGGCGGCAGGUAGCCUAGUGGUUAGAGCGUUGGGCUAGUAACCAAAAGGUUGCAAGUUCAAAUCCCGAGCUGACAAGGUACAAAUCUGUCGUUCUGCCCCUGAACAGGCAGUUAACCCACUGUUCCUAGCGUGUCAUUGAAAAUAAGAAUUUGUUCUUAACUGACUUGCCUUGUAAAAUAAAUGUUUUUUUUGUUUUGUUUAAUGAGUUUAUUAUUUUUGAAAGCUGUAAUUUGUAUUUAUAAAAUACUUUUCUGUACAAUAUUAUUUAUAGCUGCUCACCAUAUUGUGGCCCCCUUUCACCAUACAUUGGUAUCAGUCUGAUGGCACUAUGGUGUGAAAAGAGCGGCC